GUACAUCUGGGGCCUCAUUUAUAAAAAUGUUCUUUGAUUUAUACUUGAACUUAGCCUUAAGAUAAUUUCGGACAGUGUGCUUACAUUCGAUUCAUAAAAGAUACUGAGCAUAAAAAACCUUGCUUACGCAGGUUCUAAGAAGCCCAUUUGUAACUUACACACCUGUGAUCUAUAAAUCUCAAAUUAACUUAAAAUUGACAGCACCUGAACGUGCCUUACAAUGAGCAAUUUCCCCUUAUAUAAUGCUAGCACAAAUGAGGGUUUAGUCAGGAAUAACCAUGGACCAAAAGAGAAAAGCAAACUUUUUGUAAGACGAGAUCACGGCGACGGUAGAGGAGAUGUAUUAUUCAGUGAACUAAAUAGCGGGUUGACAAAGCCAAACAGGUAGCUUGGGAGUGUGUCGCCACUGCAGUGAAUGAGGUGGGGCAGCAAGACAGAACUGUGGCUGAUCUGAAAAAGAAAUGGUCUUACCUUAAACUGCAAGUGAAAAACCAACUAGACCAGGUCAAAACCUAGUAUAAAUGCGGUUAGCUGGCUAACUUGCCAUUUAUUUCUCACAAAAGAAAAGCUGUCUAUGGGGGUAGUACCAAACGACUUGCGUUGAGCUUCUUUCAUGCGUUUCUCAAUUCAAUUUAAACUACUAGUUUAUUCCUCUUCAUUUAGAUAUCUUCCUGUCAUAGUCAGUUUAAAUGGUAGCUAAAACUAAACCAGGUUAAAACCUGGAACUGGCCGACUUCACAGACAUGCACGGUGUAACUCUAUCACUCACUCACUCACUCAGUCAGUCAGUCAGUCACAGACAUUCAUGUUUGUAGGGCUGGCCCCGUUGUUGCGGUCCAGCCAAAAAUAGCCAUACAUAACCGCAGCAUUAAGGCAAAGGGAGGGGGGCCUGGCAUGCCGGAGCUCUCCCAAAUGGACCAGCGCAUCGCAUCAAUCAUUGGGGAACGCGCAUGCACUGGCACAUGCUCCGACGGGGACAGUGAAUGUUUCAAAAACACAGUAACAUCGAAAACAGUGAAGUCGGCGCGCGAAACCCCCACGACUGCGUCACUGGAUCAGGAAACGGGGGAAAGCUGCAUUGCAGCCCGUGCGCCCUCAACCCAGGGAUAAAGUGUGUGAGGCUCCCAAAUCAGCAGGUGCCAGGAGUGAGGGGGAAGGUUUGGCCACAGGUGCCGAGGGUCCAUCCACGUCUGCG